CCUACGGGAGGCUGCAGUGAGGAAUAUUGGUCAAUGGACGAGAGUCUGACCCAGCCAAGUAGCGUGAAGGAUGACUGCCCUAUGGGUUGUAAACUUCUUUUAUAUGAGAAUAAAAUGUUCCACGUGUGGGAUUUUGUAUGUACCAUAUGAAUAAGGAUCGGCUAACUCCGUGCCAGCAGCCGCGGUAAUACGGAGGAUCCGAGCGUUAUCCGGAUUUAUUGGGUUUAAAGGGAGCGUAGGUGGAUUGUUAAGUCAGUUGUGAAAGUUUGCGGCUCAACCGUAAAAUUGCAGUUGAAACUGGCAGUCAUGAGUACAGUAGAGGUGGGCGGAAUUCGUGGGGUAGCGGUGAGAUGCUUAGAUAUCACGAAGAACUCCGAUUGCGAAGGCAGCUCACUGGACUGCAACUGACACCGAGGCUCGAAAGUGUGGGUAUCAAACAGGAUUAGAUACCCUAGUAGUC
rnacentral:rRNA from 1 species